UCUAAGAGGAGGAGCUUACUCUAGAGAGAGAGAAGGAGGUUCGGCAAGAAGGCGGGAAGAAAGCGGCGAAGAAGCGGUGGAGAACGAGCCUCGUCGGAGUUGCGGGUCUUUGCCGGAAUUCGCCAAAAUCAGUCAGCAAAAAAGCGAGAAAUCUAGGCUGUUUGCUGUAAAAUUAUAUCGUCUAAGAGAUAACUCAACAAGGUUCGACGAGCGGCUCUAAAGGAAAGGAGGUAGCUAAAGAAUAAGUUUAAUUUGCUGUCUAUAGCAUGUUUAGAAUAUUUUCAUUUAUAUGCGAACCUAUGUAUGUCUUGGAUAUGUUUAAGACGUUCAGUUAUAUCUUGCGAGAGAUGAUGUCCAUGUAAUUCAUUUUGUAAACGUCUUGAACAAUUUUAUGAUAAAUAAAGUAUUAUGGUUGUGAACCAUAUCAGGUUCGAUCUAUCUUCCGCAUU